rnacentral:lncRNA from 1 species
AACAGAGGUGGCCAUUGAGUUCGACUGUUAUCUAUCGACAGAUACAGCACGCCCUGCAAAAAACGCCCAGCUCUGUUAUUAACACCACCCAAGAAAACACAGGACACUAAUAGCAUCAGCAAAACAACCGUCAAGUUGAUAGAUCAGGUCUUAUUAACGAUUCUCAGGCAUGAGAGUGAAAUCUAGAAAUAACUAUGUAACAGGAACCUCUAGACCACAUAGAACAGAAUAAUCAGCUACACGCAUAUAACCCUUAUUUUAAAGACCGGCCAUAUCAAAUCAUCAGAAUCAUUGAGACGUUUAAGUUUUCAAAACAUAAUUCAAAUCUGCAAUCAGUUAGCGAAGAAGAAAGGCAUGCAAAAUCCAGAGCAGAUUUAAAUACCUAAUUCAGUAUUAUGUCGAGAAAAGGGAGAAAACCAACGAACCUUCAAAAGAUGCAGAGAACGAAGACGGGAGUUCUCAGAAACAAACGGAAGGGCGCUGGGCAGAGGAUCAAUCGACGUUGAUGAGACAGCAGCGAAAGGAGGAAGAACGAGGGGAUUUGGGGAUUAAGGAUUGGCUUUAUAAGGGUUUUGUGGGGAGAUCUGUGAUUGGGUUUCUAUGGGAAGACCUAGUGGCGGUGCGGUGAUGGGGUUUUUACUUAUGUUUGUGAAUCGAAUGAAUUGCAGAAGCCUUCCUGCGUCAUUAUAUAGUAGUGACUGGUGAGGAUUGGGGAUUUAGGGUUCCUUUUCCUUCUUUUGGGGGUUGAUUAAUUGGUUUUGGUAGUGAGGGCGAUUUCGUCUUUCAAUAUAAAGGUCGUU